GGGCGCAUGGUGUAGUUGGUUAUCACAUCCGCUUAGCAAGUCUUCACAAGCCUGCAAGCUGCGGGGGGUGCUGGGUUCAAUUCCCAGUGCGUCCA